rnacentral:rRNA from 1 species
UACGUAGGGGGCGAGCGUUGUCCGGAUUUAUUGGGCGUAAAGAGCUCGUAGGCGGUUUGGCAAGUCGGAUGUGAAAUCUCCAGGCUCAACCUGGAGGGGUCAUUCGAAACUGCUAUGACUAGAGUUCGGUAGAGGAGUGUGGAAUUCCUGGUGGAGCGGUGAAAUGCGCAGAGAUCAGGAGGAACACCAACGGCGAAGGCGGUUUCCUGGCCGAGUACUGACGCUGAGGCACGAAAGCGUGGGGAGCGAACAGG